rnacentral:tRNA from 1 species
GGGGCUGUAGCUUAGUGGUAAAGUAUGUGUUUGGCAUGCAUGAGGCUGUGAGUUCAAUCCUCAGCACUUCA